rnacentral:rRNA from 1 species
GGAAAAGAAACUAACAAGGGAUUCCCCUAGUAACUGCGAGUGAAGCGGGAAAAGCUCAAAUUUGAAAUCUGGCAGCUCUUUGAACUGUCCGAGUUGUAAUCUAGAGAAGUGUUACCUGUGUUGGACCGUGUACAAGUCUCCUGGAAUGGAGCGUCACAGAGGGUGAGAAUCCCGUCUUUGACACGGACUGCCUGCACGUUAUGGUGUGCUUUCAAAGAGUCGAGUUGUUUGGGAAUGCAGCUCAAAAUGGGUGGUAAAUGCCAUUUAAAGCUAAAUAUUGGCGAGAGACCGAUAGCGAACAAGUACCGUGAGGGAAAGAUGAAAAGAACUUUGGAAAGAGAGUUAAACAGUACGUGAAAUUGCUGAAAGGGAAACGCUUGAAGUCAGUCGCGUCAGCUAGAAAUCAACCUUGCUUUUGCUUGGUGUACUUUUUUGUUGAUGGGUCAGCAUCAAUUUUGACCCUUGGAUAAAGUCAUUGGGAAUGUGGCAUUUUUGGAUGUGUUAUAGCCCUUUGUUGCCUACGGUGGUUGGGAUUGAGGAAAUCAGCCCGCCCUGCAAAAGGGACGGGUUUCGACCACGUUCGUGCUUAGGAUGCUGGCAUAAUGACUUUAAUCGACCCGUCUUGAAACACGGACCAAGGAGUCUAACAUGCCUGCGAGUGUUUGGGUGGAAAACCCAUGCGCGCAAUGAAAGUGAAAGUUGAGAUCCUCUCUAGGGAGGAGCAUUGACGCCCGGACCAGACCUUCUGUGACGGAUCCGCGGUAGAGCAUGUAUGUUGGGACCCGAAAGAUGGUGAACUAUGCCUGAAUAGGGUGAAGCCAGAGGAAACUCUGGUGGAGGCUCGUAGCGAUUCUGACGUGCAAAUCGAUCGUCAAAUUUGGGUAUAGGGGCGAAAGACUAAUCGAACCAUCUAGUAGCUG